rnacentral:rRNA from 1 species
CCUACGGGAGGCAGCAGUGGGGAAUUUUGGACAAUGGGCGCAAGCCUGAUCCAGCCAUGCCGCGUGCGGGAAGAAGGCCUUCGGGUUGUAAACCGCUUUUGUCAGGGAAGAAAUCCUUUGGGCUAAUACCUCGGAGGGAUGACGGUACCUGAAGAAUAAGCACCGGCUAACUACGUGCCAGCAGCCGCGGUAAUACGUAGGGUGCGAGCGUUAAUCGGAAUUACUGGGCGUAAAGCGUGCGCAGGCGGUUAUGCAAGACAGAUGUGAAAUCCCCGGGCUUAACCUGGGAACUGCAUUUGUGACUGCAUAGCUCGAGUACGGCAGAGGGGGAUGGAAUUCCGCGUGUAGCAGUGAAAUGCGUAGAUAUGCGGAGGAACACCGAUGGCGAAGGCAAUCCCCUGGGCCUGUACUGACGCUCAUGCACGAAAGCGUGGGGAGCAAACAGGAUUAGAUACCCUGGUAGUCCACGCCCUAAACGAUGUCAACUGGUUGUUGGACGGCUUGCUGUUCAGUAACGAAGCUAACGCGUGAAGUUGACCGCCUGGGGAGUCGGCCGCAAGGUUGAAACUUAAGAGUAGUCGGACGNGNGAGAGACGACGACGACGACGAGGAGGGAGGAG